rnacentral:rRNA from 2 species
UUAGCCUUAAACCUCAAUAGUUAAAUAACAAAACUAUUCGCCAGAAUACUACAAGCAACAGCUUGAAACUCAAAGGACUUGGCGGUGCUUUAUAUUCCCCCUAGAGGAGCCUGUUCCAUAAUCGAUAAACCCCGAUCCACCCUACCCUCUCUUGCUCAGCCUAUAUACCGCCAUCUUCAGCAAACCCUGAUGAAGGCCACAAAGUGAGCGCAAAUGCCCACGCCGCAAAAACGUUAGGUCAAGGUGUAGCCCAUGAGACGGUAAAAAAUGGGCUACAUUUUCUACCUCAGAAAACCCUACGAUACCUCUUAUGAAAUCUAAGAGUCCAAGGAGGAUUUAGCAGUAAAUCAAGAAUAGAGUGCUUGAUUGAACUAGGCCAUGAAGCGCGU